rnacentral:hammerhead_ribozyme from 1 species
GCACUGCUGAGGAGUCCCAUAAUAGAAAGAAACGGCCGUCCUGUGC